rnacentral:sRNA from 2 species
GCCAUACCUUUUAAUGGGACAUUCAGUCGAAUAUGAUCCUGCUUCGCAUCGUCGUCCAGCUGACUAACUAAAUCCUUCCACUUUUUCUCGCCAUCCAGAGAAGAGAGCCAGGCAUUGAGAGCACGGCGGGCGAAGCCGUCCUUGAAUACAUUCCGGAAAUGUGACGGCUCACCUGGCGGGCAAUCCAUGCCGGAUUAUUUUCCCUGAGUCCACCGUCUUGGAAGGUUCCUAUCAAAUCGGUAUAGGGAGGGAAUACACUUGAGAUCUACUGUUAGAAUGUUGG